rnacentral:rRNA from 1 species
UACGUAGGUGGCAAGCGUUGUUCGGAAUUAUUGGGCGUAAAGGGCGCGUAGGCGGUUUGUUAAGUCGGCUGUGAAAGCCCGGGGCUCAACCCCGGAGGGUCAGCCGAUACUGGCAGACUAGAGUACGGAAGAGGUAGCUGGAAUUCCCGGUGUAGCGGUGAAAUGCGUAGAUAUCAGGAGGAACACCGGUGGCGAAGGCGGGUCUCUGGGCCGAUACUGACGCUGAGGAGCGAAAGCAUGGGUAGCGAACAGG